UUCUUUAGUGAGUGUACAUCCUUAGUGGUUUCUUACUUUGGUAAGCAGCUGCUUUUGAGAUGACGGUAAUUUCUGGUGGUGAAGAGUUGCAGGUCUAUUUCAACCCAUUAAGCCGUCCAUAUUUUGAUAACUUAACUCCUAGUGAAAUGGCCGUUUGUCUCAUUAGGCUCUUUGCCACCCUCAAAAAACUUUGCAGGAAGUACCUGUAGGCCAUCAGAAAAGCUGUGUGUCUGUGCACACAGACAGCGCCUGCAGCAGGCAUGGGCCUCUAAAGGAGAGUUGGUUGUGACUUUUGUUUUCCAGAACUCCCAAAACAGCCCCAGAACCCUCUCUUCCUGUUCUUUACUUCUAGAACUGUGCCUUCACCACUCUUAGCUGUUCUUUGUGUGUAUCAACUUCCGUGAAGUUAAUGGAAACUCAAUUCCGUGUUCUCUCCUUUCUUAAAUGCUUAUUCU
rnacentral:lncRNA from 1 species